GGCACAGCUUGAGGCACCUCACUACGUGACUACCGGUAGUUGUCAUUUUCCCUUUUUCCCAAGGAGAUGGAUUUUUCCUGCCCGAAUUCGAGCAAGUUUCAUCCCAAAUCGCUCAGAGAGAAGAGAAGCUCCUGCGAUCCCUGAGUGAUGCAUGACUUUGUUUUACACGUUCCCGUGAGAUGCUUCUGGGCAGUUGGCAUGUUUCAAAAAACUUGUCGCUCGUGAGCUGGAGCAGAAACCUGACUGAGAGACACAGGUAUGGUCUAAGAGAGGUGUCUGAAACCUGCUCGUUUGCGUGGUUCCUUUUCCAAAUGUGGGGUUUGUGUUGGGUUGUUCGCCUGGCUACGUCUCGCUGCAUGGCUCUCAAGGCGGACUUGUAGCUGCACCGCUGAAGCAGGGUAUGCAAAGAGAAUGUCAGAGCUGUCCGAGGCUGGGGACACUUUCUGUGCUGAUAAGCGAUUCCUGUGAGUGGCCAAACUGAUCCAUCUCCCUCUCUGACAGUGCCUUUGUCUGAGGGGACUGUUGAGUGAGGCUUUAAGGCUAAGCAGAGGAUAAAAACGUACAAUUGACCAUGUCCAAUGACUGCCUCAAUCAUGUGACAUUUCCUCCAUCUACAUAAAGGCAUAAUUGACACUUUGGACCUUGCAGAUGUUUUGCAAUUCAUUUGGUUCCCACAAAGAUAUCAGAAAGUUAGUCUCGUGAACUGGCAAUACUGUGCUUUCCUCUGAACAUGUUCUUCUAGCUAAAACGUAUUUAGAUGCAAAUCGCACCAUGUCUCAUGGCCCCACUUGUUUUGUUUUGCUUUUUCCUUCCCAUUGCCUCUAAACAGACUGUGCCAUCGUUUUUUUCUUCUUAAAGUAUAAAAAUAUUCAGACAUUCCUGAAAAAAACAAGCACACUUGACUUCUUUGCACGUGAUCUGAUUCACACGUGAAUGUCAGUAUAUCCUUUUCCCUUCUACUCAUGGCCUUCUGCUUUAUGCUUCCUAAUUUAAUUUGUCUUUCUGGCUGCUCAGUGAUCCUUCCCAAAGAGAAAUCUCUUUGCUGAGAAGCUAUUUGCUGUGCUUUCAGCAGGAACAGAUGCUGUGAACGACUGGUUGGCUUCAUUUGGCUCUCAGAGGUCUGGACAAAGGGGUAGUGCUGCAAUCUGGCAUGGACCUUGUGCCAUUCAGGGAGGUCUUGGUACAAAUCUAGCAAAGUCAUUGCUUCUUCAUGUCGGUGAGCUAAGCUUCGUCCUCUGUGCUGUAACCUUCCUCUCCAUAAAAUGGGGAAGAAGCCAUCCAGGGUAGAUGUUACUCCUUCCCUCAGAGAUCUUCAGCUUCUGUAACCUCACGGCCAAAGGAGUUGUCUCCUUAUGGAAGAGGAUUUGCUCCAAAACCCUCUCAAACUCAUGGACCUCUCAGCACUCCACAGGGCUGGCAGAUUGGUCCACGCCACUGAGACUUUUCCUAUGAAUAGGAGAAUACCAUGCUUUGUUGAGGCCCCUCGCACUCAGCCUUAUAACUCCUCUCCCAUUUGCUCCCACUUGGCUGGAAGCGGUAAGGAUCAUGCCAGCCUGGCCAGUGCUUAUUAAAAUGAAGAAGAAAGCAGGGCCUGCCUUGCAGUACAACGUAUGAUUCUGCUGCAACAUGGCGUGGAUGUAUUGUAAUUGUUUUCAAACAAGCUUUAAAGAUAUUGAGGUAAAGCAUCAGAAGGAGGUACAGAACAGAAGGAACGUCUGAAAACUUCUCCUGAUUAGUUCUUGUAUUUACAUGUUGUUUUCUCUCACAGACCAGGCUUAUUGCAGUCUAGGUUAUAGCAAGAUCAUUUCGUACACCAGAAGGCUUUGCAAUUUGCCAGUGAAAAGCCAAAUAGGAAUCAAAGAUACCAGUGAGCAAGUUCAUGCCCCAAAAGAAAAGUUGUCCAUUCUAAUAGUGGAGGAAUUAAGGCUAUAACAAACCUCAGGGCAAGGAGUGGAUUGUCGUGCUACUACACCAAGACUGAACAACGUUCUUUAAGAUAAUGCUUAAAUCAGACAAGUUGCUUACCUCAGGAGAGAGGAACUGGGUGAGGUCUAUGGCCUGUGCAGAGUUCCAGCCAGAUGGUCCGAUGAGCUCUUCUGCUCUUAAAACCCAUGAAAUGCAGGAGCAGCAGCAAUGUCUUGAGUCAAGCAGACCUGUUCCCUGCCUUUGCAAGCCGUCACAAAUGAACCAAGUGACAACGCAACAUUCACACCAGGGUGAUAUUGCAGAAUUCCUCUUCUCUGAUGUUUAAAAACCUUCACAAAUAUACUCAUGGAUGAUAUAUGUACCUGUCCUGUUGCAGCACUGUCUUUUGGGUGAAACAGAACCAUUUAUAUUCCCAUUUAUACUCAUGGAGAGCAAUCUUAACCUUUUGCUUUGCUAGGUUGGACAGAGAAACCCCUGAUGUGGGAGGAUAUACCACUCCUGUAAGGGCACACCUAGGGAGCAGACUGAGGGCAAAACAUGCUGCCAAUCAAAGCUUAACUUAAUUAGAAUAUUUUAAAACAGUCUUCUGGCUCGACAUUACUGCUCUCAGUGAUCUUCUGCCACAAGCUCUAAGGUCUAUCAAGCAAGGUGUUAAGAGUGGUUUUGACUUGAGAGAACCAUACACCUCAUUUCUUCUUAUCCUAAUAGUGGAUCUGAAAUAUUUUAGGCAAAUCUUUUUUAAAAUUACCUUUAGGUCAAAUAUAUACAUAUACAUAUAUAUACACACAUAAAUAGUAUAAAUGUUACUUCAAAAGUAUCCUCCAUAGAAUAUUAUAAAUAACGAAUCAGAUUUGUCAUUACAACAAAUGUGUCACAAUAUUCAGAUAUAUGUCAUAGAAUCAUAGGAUCAUUAAGGCUGGAAAAGACCUCCAAGAUCAUCAGGUCCAACCAUCCCCACCAUGCCCACUAAACCAAGUCCCUCAGUGCCACAGCUACACAUUUCUUGAAUGUACAUAUGCUGUUGUUAUUUAAUGCAUAGAUAGAGAAUCUCUCAUAACUGUUGUUGGUGGUUUUAUAAUACCUGACCUUCACCUGAGAGACAGGAUGCAGUAUUUUAUAAAAGUUAUCUGUACCUUGACUUACAGAAACAGUUGAGCUCGAAGUUCAGCACAGCUGUACUUAAAGGUCACCAGUAUUUCCUUAAUUUUAUGUUUUAAUACUUUGUAAAACCUCAUGCUCGAUGCGGUAGGUUUCUAAACAUAUAUUUUCAACUCCUCUAAAUGAAUGUUCUAUGCCAUGAAGAUACAGAAUGUUGCGGGAUUUGGGCAAUCUGUGGCAAAUACAACUAUUUGAAGACACUAACACAACUAGUAGGAUUGUUCUGUGUCACGGUAAAGGAUUCUGUGGGCAUAUGUCUGGUGUUGGUGGAGAAGACAUCCAUCUACUACUUCUGUUUGUUGAUGAAACCAUCCGAGUUACGGUUCUAGAACUGAAUUUCAGAGUAUGAUGCACAGUCCCUGCGCUUGGGUUACUGUCCAGACUUUGGCUAUACUUUGAUAAGAGAACGUCAGCACUCAGAAAACAUCACUUCAGAAGAACUCACCCCCUAGAAAUCCAAUAGGAAAGCAAAGCCAAUGUUUUCUUUUCGAACUGUUUCUAGCAAGGAAAAAUUGGGAGACUUGUAACAAGUAGAUCUACUUCCUCCAGAAAUUGUCUAUCUUUUUUUGUCCAGAUUAAAAUGGAUGCAAACACCUAAAAAAAAAAAAAAAAAAAAAAAAAAAAAGAAGAAGAAGAAGCAGGCAAAUAAAUAAAGUCACCUCAGUGCUUCAUGGAUAUCCUGGCUUUUGCAAAGACUUGUCCAACCACAACCUGAAUAAUUCAAAGCAUUGUUGUCAGGCAGCAGCACAGCCCUCCUAAAUAGGCACUUGCCUUAUCACUCUACAGCAGAUGCUUCAGCCAACCAUUGGAUAUUGAAAACAUAAAUAAUGAAACAAAAUUUGGAGACAAUGGUUUCGGGGCUGGGGACAAAAUACUCAUGGAUAUUGUCAGUCUCUGAGUAACCAAGCAGCAAAAGCUCAAGUGACAACAAUAGGAAGGAGAAGAAUGGGGACAAGUGAGGAGGCCUGAAUCUCAAUAAGGCGCGGAGCUGCACAUGCUGCUGUUACCCUAGAAACUAACCUCUCCCCUGAAGAGGUUUGCCGGGGCAUUGUUUGGGGGACACAAGAUGUGUCAUACACCAGAUGGUCGUGUGCUGUAUAACUCAGUUAUCUGAGAGGACAGAGUAAAGGAAUGCGCGCUGCAGAGCUCGUCGCAGGGCCGAGCAGGGCACCAUCUGUUCUUUCAGAUCCAAGCCACUUUGCUUUUGCUUUUUUUUUUUUUCUUCCUUCCAAGGAAGGAGGGGAAAACAAAAUUAAAAUGAUUCACCAUUCUGAAGGAAAAGAAAAAAAACAAAAACUUACUACAGUUGCCAUCUCCCGCUUUAAUUUAGCUAAUUUUGUCCCCGGGUUUUAUGUCAGGUGAAUUGCUUCUUUUAUGCUUGGGAGAGCAACAAUUAUUUCUCUCUCAGGAGUCUAUCAUUUAUAAAUAAAACCCCUUUGAAACCUCAUUGGUCAUUCACCGUCUGAAAACCCCCAAACCCUCCCGACCAUAUGUUGCCGAAUGUCCCCUCUCUCCUCCCUGACGGCGCGAGUGGUGUUUGUGCAGCGUGGGGGAAAGAAGCCGUCCUUUCCAGGAAUUGUUCUCCGUCUCAGCACGGAGAGGGAAGGGGGGAAGGAGGAAAACAAAAAGCCAGAGUGAAAACCGCAGUCUGCAUGACGGGUGUAGGAAGGAAAUAUUAAUCACGGCCCACACAGCACCAAGGAGCGGUGACUCAGGCAUCUGCGAGGUGAGGCAGGAGUAGGUGUGGGCAUGACAAAACAGCAUGUGAGUGUGCUGCCAGUGCCACCAGAGUCAGCAGAAAGGCUUGGUGCCUUCGGUUGCAUGGGAUCAGGCCCCGCACGCACUUGCAUCAGCUUUUGCUGGAUGAUUCCUAUGAGAGCACCUCCCUCUGCCUGGCAAACCCACAUCCAGAUGGAACUGAAGGAGAGGAAAUGUUUGAAUUAAUUGAGAGGGAAAUCUCUAGGGAAAUCAAGUAAAAAGCAUGGACUCGAAGCAAAAAUUUGCAUGCAGAAUAAGAGCCAAAGAUCAUAGAAUGGCUUGGGUUGGAAGGAACCUCAUAGAUCAUCUAGUUCCAAUGCCUGCCAUGGGCUGGGUUGCCAACUGCUAGACCAGAUCAGCCUGCCCAGGGUCCCAUCCAACCCGGCCUUGAACACCUCCAGGAACAGUGCAUCCACAGCUUCUCUGUACAGCCUGUGCCAGUGCCUCACCACAUAAGGAGUAAAAUCUGAACCACAUUUUAUAUUUAGGUUCCCCGUAUAGGCAGCUCAGUUAAUAGUCUGAUUGGGCAAUCACAUCAGGUCUAACAAAUUAUUAGGCAAUGGUGAAACAGCAGUUGUAGAUGAUAGCAUCUCACAAGCUGCAUGUAAUCCUACUGUUUCCUACAUGCUUCUGGUGCUUACAGCACAGGUAGUUCUUGUAACAUCUGUAUCUAAUGUAUUAAUCUUUAUGAAUUAAUGAUCAAUAUAGUCAUAAGGAUAUAACAUACAGCAGGACUGAAAAGAGAACUUUCUCUUCGACUUUCUUUUUUCUUUUCUCUUUUUCUUCCUUUUCUCUUUCCUUUCCUUUCUUAUUCUUUUUUCUACAAGAUUGCCAGUGUAUCUCUCUUCAUAAAUAAAAAUUCACAUGAAGGAGAUGAUUUAUCCCCAAGCAAUCUCCUACCUAAGCGAGCUGGAAUAAAAAUAGUUAUUAAAAUAGUUAGUUAUUUAAAGAAUAACAUCAAUAAUAACAUUUCCUUCAUUGCAAUUUAGAAAAAUGAUCAAAAUCUGUCCAGCACCAGUGCUCAUCUAUGAGACGGUCCUGGGCACAGCUUUGCCCUCUUUGAGGACAAACCAAGCAACCAGCGUGCACCAGCAACCCUUGGAGCACACGCUGGCAGGGCAGUGUGCUUCAGCACAGCUCGCUGGAAGGAUUGUGUGAAACUGCACUGCAUGCUCAGAGUGCUGCACACAGACUUGGUAAAUUAUGGCAAGAAAAUCUGUAAAGCUUCUUCUGUUCCCCCCUCUGGGGAUUUGCCUCUCUCUGAUCCAAGAAAGCUUGCUGGUGACCGCCUAUCCCACUUUCUGCACCUGGCUGAGUGAUUUACCAGAAACUUGACAGGGUCGUGGAAGCUUUCUUUCCUUUGUUCCACGGGUGUCUGCCAUGGAGAGCCAAGCCUGGAUUAGCUGAGUCUAAAUCCCUGGGCAGUUCGCCAGAGCAAUGCUAGCUCUGAAGAAAACGGAGCUCCGAGAUGAUUUUGAGACUGGCUUUAUACAUCGGUUCUUCUUAGGUGCAAAUCCAUGGGCAGGGAGCAUAAUGCCUCACGUCAGGCUGGUAAGCUGUUCCCCGUAGGCAGCAGUUGCCAGCCAAUGUGGGAGUUAUGUGAACUUUCUGCCUGGCUCGGACAAUGCAGCUUCUCUGGGGCCAGUACUUCCCUGGCAGUGCUCCCUCGCCAGCUAUGUAGGCAUCUUUUCACUGGACAACAUGCUGCAUUGCAAUAAUAUGCAUGGACACGUUGAACAAUGCCUCCAUUCGGCACCUGCAUUUUCUUUGUUGUGGCGCCAACCAUUUUGUCAUAUUGGCUUUUGGGUCUCUGUCAUUAAGAGCGAUGUGAGGCUUCUCGUGCUGCCCUGGGAAAGCAUUCCUCAGUUUUCCAGCAUCCUUCUGUUGCUGCUCCAUAGACAAGGUGCAUGAAGCCUUGCAGGAGCUGGUGGCUCCUGAGAAAAAGUCUUCUGCAAGUCUUCUCAGCCUCAGGAACUACAGAUGCCCUCGUGCCCUGAAGCUGAGGCUACUCUCUGGUCAAAAUCUUUGGCUUAGGGCUGGGGGGAUUUUUCAGCCCGGUUCUCGUGUAAACAAUGUGAAUGCACUCAGUAUUUGUUUUGGCUCUCCUGAAUGGCUUUUGAACACGUCAGCCUAGUUCAACUGAACUUGACGGAAGGGUAGAGGGCACCAGAACAGCUUGCUCAGAGAGAUGGCCAGAAGUGCUGUCCCAUUCAAGGUCAGGCUAGAUGGAGUUCUGAGCACCCGAUCUAGUGUAGGUGUCCCUGUUCAUUACAGGGGAGUUGGACCAGAUGGCCUUUAAGGGUCUCUUCCAGCUCAAACGGUCCUAUAAUUCUAGAUCUACAAAAUAAUUAAGUUCUAAGUUUGGUGAAAAUUUGCAUUGAGGUAGUAGAGAGAGAGGCCCUACCACCGUGAGGUCUGAAUGUUCCUACCAUGGAAAGGCAUGAAUUCACAUCUCAUCAGACACCAGGUGGGUGAUGCAGGAAAAGAACCUGCAAAACACUGCAACACAGAAGGAAGUUUCAGCUGGAAUUUGCGCUUAGACAUCAAAUCAUCCCUCACACGAGUCAUGAAAAAGCCACUAUGUGUAGAAAUAUUUGAUAGUUUCUGGUUGAACUCAUUGACUUCUUGUUCUUUCAUCUAAUCCUUGCUGGGACUCAGUGAAAUAUCGCUGAGCGAUUGGGUAUCAGCUAUUUUCCUUCUAUGAGUUUUGAACUUGCUUCCCUCCAUGUUCCUUCAUCUUAGCUGCUGCUGGUCAGGGAGCCCAAGAGACAAACUUUUCUACACGCCAUUUAAAAAGAAAUUUCAGGGCAUCUAAAAAGAAUUUGCUUUUGUGUGGGAACAUUUCAUUGUGUGAGUUCACAUGUGGUAGGUAAGGAAAGCCUUCAUCACUAAAGUAGAACGAAAUACCUCCAAUAUUAUCAUGGCUUGUGAGAGGCUCAUGAGAGUUGUAUAAGCCAAUGGUCUGAAAACAGAAACAGGGAACAAAACUGGCAAUUCAAACAUCUUUGUGACCACAGGGAAAGCAGUGCUACAGCUACAUCUGACUCCAGCUUCCACUAAGCCUAUGGGAAGCCUUCUUUAAUAGAUUUUGAACUUGCAAAGGCUUAUGUUGGCCCGCAUGGACUGAGUAGUCCCACUGAAGGCAACAGCCCAACUCCUGUGCAUAAAUGAAAUACAGAAGUACACAUUCACAGGAGUGGGACGUAGAUGGGAGUUGCAUCAGACCCUUAAUCUUUUUUCUUUUCUUCUUCCCUGCCCCUGCCCCUCCUCUUCCCAGCCACCAUCCCAUCAGUGAAAUGAGAACAAUAAUACCCAUCUCAGCAGGAUAUGUGAGGAUUAGCUGAAAACUGCUUUUACCUUUUCUCCUUUAAACUCACAGAAAAGAAAAUCUUCCUGCAUUUUACUUUUUUUUAUAGUUCAAGGAGUAAUUUGUUCCUUGCCCAGACCUUUCCAACUCAGUGGGAGGGGGGGAGCCCUGGAAUCCUUCCACCUUCCCCUGGACUGAUGAUAAAUCAGCACUGAGGUGUAUGCUGGCCACAGAGCCAUUAACGUGCUGCAGUGAAACGGCCAUUUUAUCUGCUGACAUCAAAUUAUUCCUGCCUCAGCUAGUAUCUGAGCAUGAUGCUGGCCAAUGACAUUAUUUGAAACAAGCCUAUUUUAAAAUACAAGAAUGAAAAUGAGUGAUGUCCAGACUCUUCUACUUCUCUAAGAUACUUUGUGAAAGGGAAUCUAAAAAGGAACAUACUCUAACGACCAGUGUGGCAGCAGGCACUUCCAGCUCCAAAACCACUCGGGUUCAGAAUAAUGAAAGCUUUGCAGAUAUGUUGUACUGCGUUUAUAUAACAGUGGUCACUAAAGUCCCUUUGUGUUGGACACGGAGCAGACACACAAUUGACAGACAAUUACCACACACUCACUUACGUGCUUUGGACAAUUUGCAUGAACAGCAGGAACCAGCAAACAAGGUUCCAACACAACAUGCUCCCUGCAUGAUGGUUACUGCGGGGGGGUCCAGCUUGAAGGCAUCAAACUGUUUAGCUCGUCUUCUUGCUAUCCUUAUUCCACAAUGCACUGUGAAGAAAGACAAUGAGAUACUUACUUCUGAGGGAAGUCUUUCAGGUAUGAAGCACCAACAGAUGAGACAAAUCCAAUCCACUCAUCAGGCAGAGAAGUAAGACAUGUCUCUGAUGAGCAGCUGUGGUGGCUACCUUUGGGCAGCUGCAUGAUGGAUUUGGAUAGGUCAAAGGCAGACUGGAUCAUCUUCUCUUUUUAAGAACAAGAUGAAUCAUUGGAUUUGAAAUCACUGGUCACCAAGCUGGUGCUCUUUCUGUAAGGUUCUGUUGGACCAGAUGUGGAAUCAGACCUGCUAGCAACCUGCCACAGACAGAACUUCAAAACUUGAUUAUUCUGAGGACAUUCGUGAUGGCGAUGUUCACAUGGACAGAGACAAACCAACACACCAACACAAGGACAUUAUAUAGCAUUAUAUUGCAUAGUAGCCUAAGAGAAAAAAGAAAAGCCAGCAAUUUUUCUGUGCGUAUCGAACUUCUGGAUCUUAGAAUAAACAGAAGAUGUGGUAAUCUUGUCCUGUAUUUUAUUAGGAAAUUAGAGAUUGAUCAAUAAUCUGAAAUUACACAGUGAAUCUCAUUUAAAAAUAUUCAAAAUCAUCACAAUAAUUUUGAUUUCUAUAAAACGUAAUGCCCAGGUACAAUUCCUGUUUAAGUCCAUACGUUUCUACACCCUUAACAUGUAUCUGUUGUACAGCAGCAAGACAAGAUAAUUAUAACAUAAAUACAGUAUACUUUCCUCUGCAGUCCAAGUGAAAGAGGUGAAAUGUUUCAUGUUUAAAACAAGGCUCAGCAUAUAAGCAAUACUAUGAGAUGGUUCCCUGCAAUCUCAGUUCAUUAUGCAUCAGUAUUUCAGACUGCUCUUACAUCCUAGAUUGGUAAUGCUAACUGCUGCGCAAAAUUACGAGGCUUUGGGGCAUCAGUUUUGAUAUAUAUAUAUAUGUAUAUAUAUGUCUCCUUGCUUUCAAACACUGAAAUCUUUCAUUUUAUAUACAUUGCAUUAAUUAGCUAUGUUGUGAUCCUCCAUUUUCCAACACUGUCAACUUUAAGGACAUUCCGCUUUCAAGGAAGGGUGCGUAUGGUAGAGGUGCUAACUAACUGCAAGGGUUGAAUUUCAACUUCAGCAAGCAAAGCUCCAAUCCUGCUCACGUUGUGCAUGUGAAAAAUCACACCAAGACAAACGCUGCUGUUCUUAUUGCAACUAUAAUGUGGGGUGAGGUGGCUUGCAGGUUAGGCCCUGCGUCCUUUAGAUUGGAGCUGGCACUUCUGAAUAGAUUAAUGACUUUGGUAGGGAGCAGAAUUUCUCAUUUGAUUAUUCAGGAAACUAUUAAAUUUGUCAUGUAUGCUAUCUGGAUGAGAGAUGCUUUCCUGAACCGGGGCCAUGAUUCCUGUGAGAAUUAUGGAUGCUCAGUAAGUGGCCAGCUCAAGCACUUGACCUGCAAGUCCAGUCACGUUGGACUGUUGUGCUACUCUUGGAUAGCAUAAGCUAAG